GAGCGAUCUUCUUCGGAAGGGAGCGGCGGACGGGUGAGUAACGCGUGGGUAACCUGCCCUGUACACACGGAUAACAUACCGAAAGGUAUGCUAAUACGGGAUAACAUAAGAAAGUCGCAUGGAUUUCUUAUCAAAGCUUUUGCGGUACAGGAUGGACCCGCGUCUGAUUAGCUAGUUGGUAAGGUAACGGCUUACCAAGGCGACGAUCAGUAGCCGACCUGAGAGGGUGAUCGGCCACAUUGGAACUGAGACACGGUCCAAACUCCUACGGGAGGCAGCAGUGGGGAAUAUUGCACAAUGGGCGAAAGCCUGAUGCAGCAACGCCGCGUGAGCGAUGAAGGCCUUCGGGUCGUAAAGCUCUGUCCUCAAGGAAGAUAAUGACGGUACUUGAGGAGGAAGCCCCGGCUAACUACGUGCCAGCAGCCGCGGUAAUACGUAGGGGGCUAGCGUUAUCCGGAAUUACUGGGCGUAAAGGGUGCGUAGGCGGUCUUUCAAGUCAGAAGUGAAAGGCUACGGCUCAACCGUAGUAAGCUUUUGAAACUGUAAGACUUGAGUGCAGGAGAGGAGAGUGGAAUUCCUAGUGUAGCGGUGAAAUGCGUAGAUAUUAGGAGGACACCAGUUGCGAAGGCGGCUCUCUGGACUGUAA
rnacentral:rRNA from 1 species